rnacentral:rRNA from 1 species
UGGGGAAUAUUGGACAAUGGGCGAAAGCCUGACGCAGCGACGCCGCGUGAGUGAUGAAGGCCUUCGGGUUGUAAAGCUCUGUGGGGAGAGAAGAAUAAGUGCGGGCUAAUACUCCGCAUGAUGACGGUAUCUCCUUAGCAAGCACCGGCUAACUCUGUGCCAGCAGCCGCGGUAAGACAGAGGGUGCAAACGUUGUUCGGAAUUACUGGGCGUAAAGCGAGUGUAGGCGGUUUGGUAAGUCGGAUGUGAAAGCCCCGGGCUCAACCCGGGAAGUGCACUCGAUACUGCCAAGCUAGAGUAUCGGAGAGGUUGGUGGAAUUCUCGGUGUAGAGGUGAAAUUCGUAGAUAUCGAGAGGAACACCGGUGGCGAAGGCGGCCAACUGGACGAAUACUGACGCUGAGACUCGAAAGCGUGGGGAGCAAACAGGAUUAGAUACCCCCGUAGUCCCUGAGCGGGCUGGCAAGGCGCAU